rnacentral:rRNA from 1 species
AACGAACGCUGGCGGCAUGCCUAAUACAUGCAAGUCGAACGAGACCUUCGGGUCUAGUGGCGCACGGGUGCGUAACGCGUGGGAAUCUGCCCUUGGGUUCGGAAUAACAGUUGGAAACGACUGCUAAUACCGGAUGAUGACGAAAGUCCAAAGAUUUAUCGCCCAGGGAUGAGCCCGCGUAGGAUUAGCUAGUUGGUAGA